rnacentral:rRNA from 1 species
AACGAACGCUGGCGGCAUGCCUAACACAUGCAAGUCGAACGAGACCUUCGGGUCUAGUGGCGCACGGGUGCGUAACGCCUGGGAACCUGCCCUUAGGUUCGGAAUAACUCCCCGAAGGGGGUGCUAAUACCGGUUAAUCUCUUCGGACCUAAGAUUUAUCGCCUUUGGAUGGGCCCGCGUUGGAUUAGCUAGUUGGUAGGGUAAUAGCCUACCAAGGCGACGAUCCAUAGCUGGUAUGUGAGGAUGAUCAGCCACGCUGGCACUGAGACACGGACCAGACUGCUACGGGAGGCAGCAGUAGGGAAUAUUGGAGGAUGGGCGAAAGCGUAGUAAAGCAAUGCCGCGUGAGAGAUGAAGGCGGUAGGGUUGUAAAGCUGUUUUAGACGGGAUGAGAAUGACAGUACCGGGAGAAGAAGCUCCGGCUAACUACGUG